UACGUAGGGUGCGAGCGUUGUCCGGAAUUACUGGGCGUAAAGAGCUCGUAGGUGGUUUGUCGCGUUGUUCGUGAAAUCUCACGGCUUAACUGUGAGCGUGCGGGCGAUACGGGCAGACUAGAGUACUGCAGGGGAGACUGGAAUUCCCGGUGUAGCGGUGAAAUGCGCAGAUAUCGGGAAGAACACCCGUGGCGAAGGCGGCUCUCUGGGACGGUACUGACGCUGAGACGCGAAAGCGUGGGGAGCGAACAGG
rnacentral:rRNA from 1 species